UCUCUGUUAGUAUAUCGGUUAGUACACGCGCCUGUCAUUCCCAAUGACCGCGCGAAAGCGGGGUUCGACUCCCCGACAGAGAG
rnacentral:tRNA from 1 species